CAGGAUGAACGCUAGCGACAGGCCUAACACAUGCAAGUCGAGGGGCAGCACAAGGAGCAAUCUGAGGUGGCGACCGGCGCACGGGUGAGUAACACGUAUGCAACCUGCCUGUAAGCGGGGAAUAACCCGUUGAAAGACGGACUAAUACCGCAUAAUACUAAAUUACUGCAUGGUAAUUUAUUUAAACAUUUAUGGCUUACAGAUGGGCAUGCGCAUGAUUAGCUAGUUGGAGAGGUAACGGCUCCCCAAGGCAACGAUCAUUAGGGGUUCUGAGAGGAAGGUCCCCCACACUGGUACUGAGACACGGACCAGACUCCUACGGGAGGCAGCAGUGAGGAAUAUUGGUCAAUGGACGAGAGUCUGAACCAGCCAAGUCGCGUGCAGGAAGAAUGUUCCCUAUGGAUUGUAAACUGCUUUUGCAGGGGAAUAAAGUGCAUCACGUGUGAUGUUUUGUAUGUACUCUGCGAAUAAGGAUCGGCUAACUCCGUGCCAGCAGCCGC
rnacentral:rRNA from 1 species